UGUGAGCUCGAUGAGUAGGGCGGGACACGUGGUAUCCUGUCUGAAUAUGGGGGGACCAUCCUCCAAGGCUAAAUACUCCUGACUGACCGAUAGUGAACCAGUACCGUGAGGGAAAGGCGAAAAGAACCCCGGCGAGGGGAGUGAAAAAGAACCUGAAACCGUGUACGUACAAGCAGUGGGAGCACGCUUAGGCGUGUGACUGCGUACCUUUUGUAUAAUGGGUCAGCGACUUAUAUUCUGUAGCAAGGUUAACCGAAUAGGGGAGCCGAAGGGAAACCGAGUCUUAACUGGGCGUUAAGUUGCAGGGUAUAGACCCGAAACCCGGUGAUCUAGCCAUGGGCAGGUUGAAGGUUGGGUAACACUAACUGGAGGACCGAACCGACUAAUGUUGAAAAAUUAGCGGAUGACUUGUGGCUGGGGGUGAAAGGCCAAUCAAACCGGGAGAUAGCUGGUUCUCCCCGAAAGCUAUUUAGGUAGCGCCUCGUGAAUUCAUCUCCGGGGGUAGAGCACUGUUUCGGCAAGGGGGUCAUCCCGACUUACCAACCCGAUGCAAACUGCGAAUACCGGAGAAUGUUAUCACGGGAGACACACGGCGGGUGCUAACGUCCGUCGUGAAGAGGGAAACAACCCAGACCGCCAGCUAAGGUCCCAAAGUCAUGGUUAAGUGGGAAACGAUGUGGGAAGGCCCAGACAGCCAGGAUGUUGGCUUAGAAGCAGCCAUCAUUUAAAGAAAGCGUAAUAGCUCACUGGUCGAGUCGGCCUGCGCGGAAGAUGUAACGGGGCUAAACCAUGCACCGAAGCUGCGGCAGCGACGCUUAUGCGUUGUUGGGUAGGGGAGCGUUCUGUAAGCCUGCGAAGGUGUGCUGUGAGGCAUGCUGGAGGUAUCAGAAGUGCGAAUGCUGACAUAAGUAACGAUAAAGCGGGUGAAAAGCCCGCUCGCCGGAAGACCAAGGGUUCCUGUCCAACGUUAAUCGGGGCAGGGUGAGUCGACCCCUAAGGCGAGGCCGAAAGGCGUAGUCGAUGGGAAACAGGUUAAUAUUCCUGUACUUGGUGUUACUGCGAAGGGGGGACGGAGAAGGCUAUGUUGGCCGGGCGACGGUUGUCCCGGUUUAAGCGUGUAGGCUGGUUUUCCAGGCAAAUCCGGAAAAUCAAGGCUGAGGCGUGAUGACGAGGCACUACGGUGCUGAAGCAACAAAUGCCCUGCUUCCAGGAAAAGCCUCUAAGCAUCAGGUAACAUCAAAUCGUACCCCAAACCGACACAGGUGGUCAGGUAGAGAAUACCAAGGCGCUUGAGAGAACUCGGGUGAAGGAACUAGGCAAAAUGGUGCCGUAACUUCGGGAGAAGGCACGCUGAUAUGUAGGUGAAGCGACUUGCUCGUGGAGCUGAAAUCAGUCGAAGAUACCAGCUGGCUGCAACUGUUUAUUAAAAACACAGCACUGUGCAAACACGAAAGUGGACGUAUACGGUGUGACGCCUGCCCGGUGCCGGAAGGUUAAUUGAUGGGGUCAGCGCAAGCGAAGCUCUUGAUCGAAGCCCCGGUAAACGGCGGCCGUAACUAUAACGGUCCUAAGGUAGCGAAAUUCCUUGUCGGGUAAGUUCCGACCUGCACGAAUGGCGUAAUGAUGGCCAGGCUGUCUCCACCCGAGACUCAGUGAAAUUGAACUCGCUGUGAAGAUGCAGUGUACCCGCGGCAAGACGGAAAGACCCCGUGAACCUUUACUAUAGCUUGACACUGAACAUUGAGCCUUGAUGUGUAGGAUAGGUGGGAGGCUUUGAAGUGUGGACGCCAGUCUGCAUGGAGCCGACCUUGAAAUACCACCCUUUAAUGUUUGAUGUUCUAACGUGGACCCGUAAUCCGGGUUGCGGACAGUGUCUGGUGGGUAGUUUGACUGGGGCGGUCUCCUCCUAAAGAGUAACGGAGGAGCACGAAGGUUGGCUAAUCCUGGUCGGACAUCAGGAGGUUAGUGCAAUGGCAUAAGCCAGCUUGACUGCGAGCGUGACGGCGCGAGCAGGUGCGAAAGCAGGUCAUAGUGAUCCGGUGGUUCUGAAUGGAAGGGCCAUCGCUCAACGGAUAAAAGGUACUCCGGGGAUAACAGGCUGAUACCGCCCAAGAGUUCAUAUCGACGGCGGUGUUUGGCACCUCGAUGUCGGCUCAUCACAUCCUGGGGCUGAAGUAGGUCCCAAGGGUAUGGCUGUUCGCCAUUUAAAGUGGUACGCGAGCUGGGUUUAGAACGUCGUGAGACAGUUCGGUCCCUAUCUGCCGUGGGCGCUGGAGAAUUGAGGGGGGCUGCUCCUAGUACGAGAGGACCGGAGUGGACGCAUCACUGGUGUUCGGGUUGUCAUGCCAAUGGCACUGCCCGGUAGCUAAAUGCGGAAGAGAUAAGUGCUGAAAGCAUCUAAGCACGAAACUUGCCCCGAGAUGAGUUCUCCCUGACUCCUUGA
rnacentral:rRNA from 1 species